rnacentral:lncRNA from 1 species
CUAGGAUUUAAAAAACAUCUUAUGCUAUCUAUUCCAUCUGGUCAUGGCACAAGAAUAUUCCAAUGGAAGUUCUAGAAUCCUUGGACUGACAUCAAGCUAUCCUCUUAUCAGAGAUCCUAGAAAACUCAUCAGUAUUCUUUCUAUUCCCUUGAGAGACUGUUCUACAAACACACACAUCUUACUAUCAAAGGAUAUAUUCUGAUGCUUAACCUAAAUUUCCUUUUCCUUAACUUUAUCCCUUGAAGCUUUUCAUAUCUCCAGCCAAAAUUCCUCUUUAUCCUUGGUGUUUAGACCCCAAAGCUAUUUGUAGAUUUUUAUCAUGCCCUUUGGGUCUGACUCUGUGGUUUGGCUACACUAUAAAGUUCAUAUUUUGCUUUAAAACCAUCACUGUAGAUGAUCUUUUCUGGACUCCCUCCAGUUGCUUUUGUUUUUCAGUCCUGAGGUCCAAUAUUCCAGGUUAGGGCAUCCUAUUUUGCUCUUGUUUGUUAUAUAAUCCCAUUGCUUAAACAGUCUCAAAUCACACUGAACUUUCUGAUUGAGUGUCAUAUAAUAUUUCAGACUUCUAUCUGAUUGGCUCCCAACUUUUAGCAUUGUUGAUUUUCAUUUCAUCCUGCCCAUGUCUCUCAAACUGAUCAUGAUCCCCCGAUAUCAUUUCUAUGUUCUUAGUGGGUAAACAGUUCACAGCAUCUCACUUGCCCAUAAAAGUCCGGGUUCUGUCUCCAAGCUCCUGAAACAUGAAAAAGAAGCAUCAUUUAAAUCUGUGUGACAUGCAUGGAAUACAUGAGAGAUAUGUGGAGAAAUUUUACAAGGCUUAAGAAUGCAAAUUGCAUUAAAUAGCCCAACUUCCCCAUGCCUGAACUAAAAAUGUUUCUUUAGAUUCCUAUGCCAGCUGCCAAAGCACUUAAAUUACAAUCGACAAACGUCAGUGGAGGUAAACCUAGAGUCUUUGAGUACAGGAAAUUUUUGUCUUCUAUUACAUUUAUAUACCAACAGGCAAGGUUUUUGGCUCAAUAUUUUGGAUCAAUUUCACAUAGCCCAGAAUUGGAACCAUGAACCCUCCAGGUACACACUUGAGGUUUUAAUAUUCCUCUAGUUGAUAUCCAGACCUGUGAAAUUUUUUUUUCUGACGUUAUAUUCGGAAACCCAAAUGACUAUUCUUAUUCAUCUUUCCCAGUUUUUCCCCACUCUGUGUGCCUAAUUUUGCCAUUUCUCACCAAUUGUGACCUUAAAAAAUUAAAUUCAGUAAAAGAAAACGACU